rnacentral:rRNA from 1 species
CCGCGUGCAGGAAGACGGCCCUCUGGGUGUGUAAACUGCUUUUGUACGGGAAUAAACCUUGCUUCGUGAAGCGAGCUGAAUGUACCGUAAGAAUAAGGAUCGGCUAACUCCGUGCCAGCAGCCGCGGUAAU